AUAUCACAGAAGCCUACCAGCUCACCAAGAAGUCUCAAAAGACAAUGGGGAAGGUAAUUAGAAUUGCCAUUCCUGAGAACAAAACUGUCCACAACUACAGCAUCCAGACCAUGAAUUCCUCAGAGCUUGCUAAGAAGCAGAUGUUUAAAGAGAUGGCCAAGGAGCCAAGGAAGAGAUUCACAUAUUCACAGAAUUUCCUCUCAGCCAUGGUGGAUGUUCGGGACCCAAAGGAAGAGGAGAAGAAAGCCCAGAAGAAGUCCCGCCAGGCCUGGCUCACAGCCGGAGUGGCAAGAAAACGCACUGUUCGCUAACGUGCUGAAGCCUGUGCUGGAUCGGGAUAGGUGGAGCUGGAGUCAGCGCCGCCUGGAUUUUGACCUGUACAAGAAGCCGCCACUUUACUUUCAGUUGCCCCGUCUUCCAGCUCCAAAGCCUGCAACUGGUAAGA